rnacentral:rRNA from 1 species
GAUGAACCACUUCGGUGGGGAUUAGUGGCGAACGGGUGAGUAACACGUGGGCAAUCUGCCCUUCACUCUGGGACAAGCCCUGGAAACGGGGUCUAAUACCGGAUACAACACUCUCGGGCAUCCGAUGAGUGUGGAAAGCUCCGGCGGUGAAGGAUGAGCCCGCGGCCUAUCAGCUUGUUGGUGAGGUAACGGCUCACCAAGGCGACGACGGGUAGCCGGCCUGAGAGGGCGACCGGCCACACUGGGACUGAGACACGGCCCAGACUCCUACGGGAGGCAGCAGUGGGGAAUAUUGCACAAUGGGCGAAAGCCUGAUGCAGCGACGCCGCGUGAGGGAUGACGGCCUUCGGGUUGUAAACCUCUUUCAGCAGGGAAGAAGCGAAAGUGACGGUACCUGCAGAAGAAGCGCCGGCUAACUACGUGCCAGCAGCCGCGGUAAUACGUAGGGCGCGAGCGUUGUCCGGAAUUAUUGGGCGUAAAGAGCUCGUAGGCGGUCUGUCGCGUCGGAUGUGAAAGCCCGGGGCUUAACCCCGGGUCUGCAUUCGAUACGGGCAGACUAGAGUGUGGUA